AUGGCAGUGGUAUUCAUCGGAGGAGCGCGUUUGUCAGUGACAUUUUGGACGCUGUGUGAUUCUCUCAAGCAAGUGAAGGAUAUGAUGGUGUUCAAAUCCCAACUCGGGGAUAUCGAAUCCACUCUGCACUCUUUGGAACCACUGAUCAAGGAGAUGGCAGAGUGUGAGAAGGAGUUGGAUGGUCAAGGGGAGGAGCUAGAGAAUCUUAGUGUGGAAAUGGAAGAAGGAGUGGAGCUUAUUCGCAAGUGCUCGAAAGCGAGCAGGUUCAAGAAGUAUAAGUAUGGCAGCCGGCUUGUUGAAUUGGGUAAGUCACUUCAGAGGCUGUUGGGGAUACUGAAAGUGCAGGGCAUAAGGGAUGUUAAGAAGGCAUUGAUUUCGAUGAGGAAUAUUGAGAAUGUGGUUCAGAGAAUUGAAGGGAAUUGUGUGAUACAGAACAUUCAGUCUGAGAAAAUUGAAGGGUGGUGUGCUGUGCCUGAACCUACGACUGUUACGGUUGGAUUGGAUGUGCCUCUGAGGGAACUGAAAAUGAAGCUCUUUACUUAUGGAGUUUCGAUGGUGAUAGUUACUGCUCCCGGAGGAUGUGGGAAAACUACCCUGGCUACAAAGUUGUGCCAAGAUGCAGAAAUCAAAGAUAAAUUCAAGAGCAAUAUCUUCUUUGUUACUGUCACAAAGAAGCACAACUUAUUUCUGAUUGUCCAAGAGCUAUAUCAUCGAACGGGUGCCCAGGUCCCCGAUUUCCAAAGUGAUGUAACUGCAGUUAGCUGGAUGCACCAAUUUCUGAAGAAAACUGGACAAAAUCCUAUGUUGUUGGUCCUGGAUGAUGUCUGGGCUGGAUCAGAAUUUAUUCUGGAGAAGUUUGAUGAAUUAAAAAUGACAAAUUGCAAGAUAUUGGUUACAUCAAGGUCUAGUUUUCCAAGAUUUGGUUCUCCAUAUUAUCUAGAAUGUUUGAACGAUGCAGAUGCAAUGGCACUUUUUCACCAUGCAGCAUCCUUAGGAGACAGGAGCUCUUAUAUAUCAGAAGAUCUUCCGAGAAAGAUAGUUGAGCGUUGUAUGGGAUUUCCACUAGCAAUUACAGUUCUCGGAAGAUCACUAUGCGGUCAGCCAAUAGAGAUAUGGCAAAAAAGAGUAUUGGAAUGGUCUAGAGGUUCAUCUGUUCUUGAGUCUGAACAUGAUUUGCUUGAUUGCCUCCAAAGUAGCUUAGAUGCGUUGGAUGAAGAGAAGCCUCUUAUCAGGGAAUGCUUCAUCGACCUUGGUUUAUUUCCCGAAGAUCAAAGAAUCCCUGCUACUGUCCUAGUUGAUAUGUGGGCAGAGUUAUAUGGCAUACAUGAAGAUAUUUUGUCAAUUUCACACCUCUAUGAACUUGCCUCUCAAAGUUUGGCUAAUCUGGUGGUCACAAGCAGGAAGGACAACAAGUACAGUGAUGGCUAUUACACUGAACACUUCGUUACACAGCAUGACAUGCUUAGGGAGUUGGCUAUCCGACAGACGAGUCAGGAACCGCUACAACAGAGAAUGAGACUUAUGAUUGACAUAUGUGGAGACAACCUUCCUAUGUGGUGGAAAGAACAAAAGUAUCAAUCCCUCAUCGCUCGUGUAGUAUCUAUCUCGACAGAUGAAGAGUUCUCAUCUACAUGGCAAAACUUGCAACUACCAGAAGCAGAGGUUUUGAUUUUGAAUUUUCAGACCAAGUAUUAUGCCUUACCUGAGUUUGUAGAGAAAAUGAAAAAACUGAAGACUCUAGUACUCACAAGUUGCAGUAGUAGUCCUACCGAGUUGAAUAACUUUCAACUAGUUGAUUCGAUACCAAGUUUAAAGAGAAUCAGAUUGGAGCGAAUAUCACUUCCUUCCAUAAGCAGGUAUCCUAUACAGUUGAAAAGUUUGAAAAAGAUUUCUCUAUUCAUGUGUUGCAUCGGCCAAGGUUUUGGUAACGGUACCAUACAGAUAUCAGAGGCGUUUCCAAAUGUUGUUGAAAUGAAUAUUGACUACUGCAAUGAUUUGGUUGAGUUGCCUGCCCAACUCUGUGACCUUAUACAACUCAAGAAGCUCAGUGUUACCAAUUCUCAUAAGCUCUCUGCCUUACCUGAAGACAUUGGAAAUCUAGUCAAUUUAGAGCUGCUGAGGCUUAGGUCUUGUACAGACUUGUCAGAGUUACCUGGCUCUAUUAGGAACCUCAAGAAGUUGAACUUUCUUGACAUAUCGGAUUGCUUUAGCAUGAAGGAAUUGCCUGAGAACAUUGGAGAAUUGUGCAGCUUAGAAAGGCUCAACAUGAGACAGUGCUCGAGAUUGAAUGAGCUGCCUUCUUCAGUUUUGGAUCUUGAACACUUGAAGGAAGUGACAUGCGAUGAAGAGACAGAAAUUUUAUGGGAACCCUUCUUACCCUAUCUGACAAACAUGCACAUUAAGGUUGUGAAAGAAGAUAUCAACCUCAAUUGGCUCCACAAGUCUCAUUUCUGAGACCUUUCUUUUCGAAAAUAAUAAAUGUUGAAGCAAUGCUGGUAUCAUUCGUCUCAAAGGAACCUCAAUAAGCUGAACUUUCUGGACUUAUCCGAUGAUUAAAGCUGCGCAUGACAUUUGAAAUAUUCACAUUCAGGGAAGCUCAAUAUCAGACAGUGCAGUUGUUGUGGAUCUUUACCUUAAAUUCUAGAACAUAUUUGUUGUUUGUUGUUGUAUUUCUUUUCUGUUUGUUUCUAAUUUUACUUUAUUUUUCCUUUAUUUUGUUCUUUGUUCUGUAAGUUGUACUAGAUAAUUAGUGCAAGAUGCAUUUGAUUCUGCAUUGUAAUAUACUAAUAACAGUGAUAGUAACGUGUGAAGUGUGAACAGCAUCAACCCUGGUUGAAUUUAAAUAAAGGCUAAUUCUU